GGAGGAACCUUGGAGCUUCGGC
rnacentral:miRNA from 1 species